rnacentral:pre_miRNA from 1 species
CGGGACCUCGUGGGCCAGACGGUUAUGUAACAGACCCUACUGGCCCGCUAAGUCCUGAU